rnacentral:rRNA from 1 species
GUAGUCCACGCCCUAAACCAUGGAUACUUGGUGUGACCACCGCAGUGGUGGUUGUGCCGAAGCUAACGCAUUAAGUAUCCCGCCUGGGGAGUACGAUCGCAAGAUUGAAACUCAAAGGAAUUGACGGGGGCCCGCACAAGCGGUGGAGCAUGUGGUUCAAUUCGACGCAACGCGAAGAACCUUACCUGGGCUCGAACGGCUGGUGCUACCGGAUGAAAGUUCGGGUGCUUGAGAUUACAUCAAGAGCCGCCAGUCGAGGUGCUGCAUGGCUGUCGUCAGCUCGUGCCGUGAGGUGUUCGGUUAAGUCCGGCAACGAGCGCAACCCCUAUCUGCUGUUGCCAACGGGUCAUGCCGGGAACUCUGCAGAGACUGACUGCGCAAGCAGAA